rnacentral:rRNA from 1 species
UACGAGGGGGGCAAGCGUUGUUCGGAAUUAUUGGGCGUAAAGGGUGCGUAGGCGGUUUGGUAAGUCUGAUGUGAAAUCUAUGGGCUCAACUCAUAGUCUGCAUCGGAAACUGCCGGGCUUGAGUGUGGGAGAGGUGAGUGGAAUUCCUGGUGUAGCGGUGAAAUGCGUAGAUAUCAGGAGGAACACCUGUGGCGAAAGCGGCUCACUGGACCAUAACUGACGCUGAUGCACGAAAGCUAGGGGAGCAAACAGGA